rnacentral:rRNA from 1 species
AGUGAACGCUGGCGGUAGGCCUAACACAUGCAAGUCGAACGGCAGCACAGUAAGAGCUUGCUCUUACGGGUGGCGAGUGGCGGACGGGUGAGGAAUACAUCGGAAUCUACUUUUUCGUGGGGGAUAACGUAGGGAAACUUACGCUAAUACCGCAUACGACCUACGGGUGAAAGCAGGGGAUCUUCGGACCUUGCGCGAUUGAAUGAGCCGAUGUCGGAUUAGCUAGUUGGCGGGGUAAAGGCCCACCAAGGCGACGAUCCGUAGCUGGUCUGAGAGGAUGAUCAGACACACUGGAACUGAGACACGGUCCAGACUCCUACGGGAGGCAGCAGUGGGGAAUAUUGGACAAUGGGCGCAAGCCUGAUCCAGCCAUACCGCGUGGGUGCAGAAGGCCUUCGGGUUGUAAAGCCCUUUUGUUGGGAAAGAAAAGCAGCAGGUUAAUACCCCGCUGUUCUGACGGUACCCAAAGAAUAAGCACCGGCUAACUUCGUG